rnacentral:tRNA from 1 species
UUAAAAGUCAGCUAACUAAGCUUUUGGGUUCAUACCUCAACAAUAGAAUUUUAUUCUCUUUUAAA